AACGCUGCGGCGUGCCUAUACAUGCAAGUAGAACGCUGAAGGAGGAGCUUGCUUCUCCGGAUGAGUUGCGAACGGGUGAGUAACGCGUAGGUAACCUGCCUGGUAGCGGGGGGAUAACUAUUGGAAACGAUAGCUAAUACCGCAUAAGAGUAGAUGUUGCAUGACAUUUGCUUAAAAGGUGCAAUUGCAUCACUACCAGAUGGACCUGCGUUGUAUUAGCUAGUUGGUGGGGUAACGGCUCACCAAGGCGACGAUACAUAGCCGACCUGAGAGGGUGAUCGGCCACACUGGGACUGAGACACGGCCCAGACUCCUACGGGAGGCAGCAGUAGGGAAUCUUCGGCAAUGGACGGAAGUCUGACCGAGCAACGCCGCGUGAGUGAAGAAGGUUUUCGGAUCGUAAAGCUCUGUUGUAAGAGAAGAACGAGUGUGAGAGUGGAAAGUUCACACUGUGACGGUAUCUUACCAGAA
rnacentral:rRNA from 1 species